GUGUCAGCCGCCGCGGUAAUACGUAGGGGGCAAGCGUUGUCCGGAUUUAUUGGGCGUAAAGAGCGUGUAGGCGGUUAUACAGGUCCGCUGUGAAAACUGGAGGCUUAACCUCCAGACGUCGGUGGAAACCGUAUAACUAGAGUCCGGAAGAGGAGAGUGGAAUUCCUGGUGUAGCGGUGAAAUGCGCAGAUAUCAGGAAGAACACCCGUGGCGAAGGCGGCUCUCUGGGACGGUACUGACGCUGAGACGCGAAAGCGUGGGGAGCGAACAGGAUUAGAAACCCCCGUAGUCC
rnacentral:rRNA from 1 species